rnacentral:lncRNA from 1 species
CAUGAGCAAGCAUAGGUGCAACGUGAACACCACCAUCCCUCCUUCCUUUCUUUCCUCCAGUUAUUAUCUUAGAUGCUGCAAACAGAUCUUGUUUAGGGGGAAAGGAAGGGAGGCGUGAAGGGAAGAAAAUCCAAAGAGCAGAGGAAAAAAAAAACAAAAACACAGCAAGGAAAUGCCAGGCGGCACCAAGGUGCAUCAUCGUCAGCCCUGUACUCGGGAGCUGCAGGAAGGACUAGCUCCAGGCCAGUCUCAACCAUGAAGCCUGGCUUAUAUGACAUUCUGUCUCAAAAAAAGAAAAAAAUGAAGAAGAAGAAGAAAGAGUUAGGGAGAGAGGUGGAAGGAAGUAGGAAAAGAAGGAACUCCAGGUGGCUUUCAGACUACCUAACAAAAGAAAGAUGGUUUUGACAUGUGCAUCACACAAGCACAUACCCUUAGCUUUCUUUUGUUUUCAUGAACUAGAGAAAUGCUUAGGUAAUGGUCACACUUAAGUGAGUAGGUGCAGGCGAUGGACCAAAAAGGCAGGAGAAGAGGGCCGUGUGUUUGGUGAAGGAAUUGGGCAGAUGGUCCUGUGUGCACAGAUCUUGAUUGGCAUUUAGCAACUGCAUGAUCUUGAGCAAAUGGUUACAUUCUCCUUCCUCAUGGAAAACAAUAACAAACAAACAAAAAGCAACAAAAAACCCCCAGCCAUAUCUACAUCAUCUGUUGGAUCUGAAAAUAACCCAGAAUGAUGCAUUUUAGCAGUGGUAACUGCAGGGCCAGCAACAAGAUUUGUGGGUCCCCGUGUUUGUAAUUUUAAGAAUUUCAGUUCAAUAGCAGAAGAAUAUCAGACCAAGCGUGGCCUUCUUGACUGUAGAUUCCCAUGUGACUGCAGGCUGUAGAUCCAUGGUGCUCUAACCCUGAGUCUCAUUGACUAACUGGACCCUCGAAAGCCUUUCUAAACCCUCACCGCCUGCUUUAUUUUCAUGCCAUGUGGCUGUCCUCACAGAUAACCGGCUCAUCGUCAACUCUGUCUAAGCCCUGACUGGGUGGUCAUUUCUUCUAACGUUCUCAAUACAGUACUGUGCUAGUCUUGUGGUCCUGGUCUUGUGGUUUCCAUCGGUGUUUCAGAUGGACUGAGGAUAACUAUGUUGUCAACAUCUUUCCUACUCUAGCAGGAUGUCUCAGUGGACAGCUGGUCCAGAAAUUCCAGACCCAACUAGCACCUGCUUUCCACUAUAGAAGGGACCACUUUCAACCCGCGUACCUCCUUUGCCUUUUAAUAAAAAAGUUCCACUUCAGGAAGAAUAGUUCCCAGGUGAUUCUACCUCACUGUUCAUAGUGUACCUCUGUAGAUACUAAGUUAGUCAACCAGGAGGAAUAAAUGGCACACAAACAUAUGCAAAGGUGGACACUUUUAGGAGUGCAGAACAAAUACCCUCAUCCCUGGUGGUAGUCAGGGAGCAGAGGAAGAGCCAUUUUGUAGCUAGUUGUGUCUGUCAGAUAAGGAAUGGGUGGGUCAGGCCAUAUGCAGUUACUGACACUGAGCUUUGAGUCACAAAGAAUCUGGAGGAAGUCUCUCUGAGGACUCGCUUUCCUUUUUUAAAAAAAUAUUUAUUUAUUAAUAUGAGUACACUGUUGCUGUCUUCAGACACACCAGAAGAGGGCAUCAGAUCCCAUUACAGAUGGUUGUGAGCCACCAUGUGGUUGCUGGGAUUUUGAACUCAGGAUCUCUGUAAGAGCAGUCAGUGCUCUUAACCACUGAGCCAUCUCUCCAGUCCCCCAAUUUAAUUUCUUCUGUAUAAAACGAGAGUGCUGAGCUUGAAG